ACCCAAUAGAUACCCUGGUAGUCCACGCCGUAAACGAUGGAUGCUAGCUGUGUGGAGUAUCGACCCUCUGUGUAGCAAAGCUAACGCGUUAAGCAUCCCGCCUGUGGAGUACGAGCGCAAGCUUAAAACAUAAAGGAAUUGACGGGGACCCGGCACAAGCGGUGGAGCGUGUUGUUUAAUUCGAUGAUAAGCGAAGAACCUUACCCAGGUUUGACAUCCUGCUAAUCUUUCCGAAAGGAGAGAGUGCCUUCGGGCCGGCAGUGACAGGUGCUGCAUGGCCGUCGAAACGCUCGUGUCGUGAGAUGUUUGGUUUAAGUCCAUCAACGAGCGCAACCCCUGUAGUUAGUUGGAUUUUUACUAGCUAGACUGCCUCGGUAACGGGGUAGGAAGGAGGGGUAAGACGUCAGGUCAGUAUUGCCCUUACACCU
rnacentral:rRNA from 1 species